AUUAAUUCAAAAUUUUAUUUGGGAAGAUAAACAAAAACAUCUCAAAAAACUUUGAAAAUGAAGAACGAUAUGGAAAAUCUAGCAUUAAUGCCAGAUAUUAAUAGGGAAUUUAGAGCCACGAUAAAUAAGUAGGGUGAUACUGGAUUGUAAAUGGACAGAAAACCCAAUGGAAUGGAGUAGAAAAUCCAGAAAGAGAUAUAACUGUGAGAAUUUAGUUUCUGAUAGAGAUGGCUUCUCAAACUGAUUGGGAAACUAUAGACUACCCAAUAUAUGCUACCAGAAAUGAGUUGGUAGCCAUCUGGUAAAACACAUACCCACACAAAUAAUCAUAAAGUUGAAUCUGUACUUCAUACUUUAAGUACAUACUUGACCCAUAUCAAAUGGAUCAAUAAAUAAAUGUAAAAAAUUAAACCAAAACUGAUUUAGAAGGAAAUAGAAAGGAAUAAUUACUUUACAUCUGUGGCAUAAGGAAGGACUUCUAACUAUGACUCAAAAUUCACAAGCCAUAAAAGAAAAAAAAUGUUAUAUUUAACUGCAUUAUAAAACAAACACAUUCUGCAUGAUAAGAAACAUUAUGUCUUGGUCCAUUUUGUGUUGCUAUCACAGAAUACCACAGACUGGGUAAUGUAUAGUGAAUAGGAAUUUAUUGGCUUAUGGUUCUGGAGGCUGGAAAGUCCAACAUUAAGGUGCCAGCAUCUUGAGAGGGUCUUCUUGUUGUGUCAUGACAUGGCAAAAGGCCAAGAGAGGGAGGAGAGAGAAAGAGAAAGGAGAUUAAACUGCUCCCUUUUAUAAUGAACCCACUCCCUUGACAACAGCACUAUCUGAUUCUCUCUGUCCUCGUGACCUAAUCCCUUCUCAUGAGGCCCCACCUCCCAGUGCUUUUGCAUUAGGGAUUAAGUUUCCAACAUAUGCUUUUUGACGGACACAUUCAAACAACAGCACAUCAUAAUCAAAAUUGAAAGUUAAAUGACAAGCUGAGGAAAAAAUAUUUUCAGUUCAUAGCACAAAGAGAGAUUUUUCCUUUAAUUUACAAUAAAAACCUGCAAGAGAUACUAAUUGACGGCUCACAAGAAAGGAAAUACAAACAGCACACACUUGUGAAAAGGUGCUCAUAAAACUAUACCAAUGUGAGCUUUUCAGGAACCAAAUAGGCAAACUAUAAAGUUUGAGAAACACAGUCGAUUACUAAGGCUUUGGGGGAACUCUUAGGCAUUGUUGAGUGAGUAAGUUGAUAUAACUUCUAAGGAGGCAAUUUGACAUUUAUCAAAACUGCAAAAUCAUAUACUCCUUGACCCAGCAGUCUGUAUUAUAUAUAUCACAUAUAAUUGCACAUGUGGAAAGUGGCAUGCACAAGGUUCUUUACUGCAGUAUCAUUUCUAAUGUCAAAAACAACGAAAAUCUAAACUAUAGCAGACUGAUUGAACAAAUCAGGAGUUAAGCAGACAAUGAAAUAUAAGGCAUCUGCAAAAAGAAUGUAUAUAUAAAAACUGGAGAAAAAUAGUAUUACAUAAUUUUAUUUGUGUAUAUAUUCUAAAGAAACUCUGAAAGGAUAUGUAAGAAACUAAGGAUAGUGGUUACUGUAUGAGGAAGAUGGGGAACUGGGAAGAUGGGGCAUGCAUUAAUUUGCUAAGGUUGUACAUUAGGGAUUAGUCAUGCUUCUCCAAAGAAACAGAGCCAACAGUGUGUGUGUGUACACACACACAUUUAUACACUUAUAUGUGUAUGUGUGUGUGUAUACAUGUAUAUAUGAUUUAUUCUAAGCAAGUGACUUACAUGAUUAUGAAGGAUGGAAAGUCCCUAAAUCUGCUGGGUGAAUUGGCAAGCUAGAGACCCAGGAGAGCUGAUUGUAUAACACCAGUUUAGGUCAAAAGGCCUGAGAUCCAGGAGGGCCAAAGGUGGAUUUCCCAUCUGAAGGCUGGCAGGCUGGAGACCCAGGAAGAAAUGAUGUUUCAGUUGAGUCCUAAGGUAUGAAAAAGCCAAUGUUUCAGUUUGAAAGCUGUCAGGCAGGAAGAAUUCUCUUACUUGCAGAAGGCAUAGCUUUUUCGUUCUAUUCAGGCCUCAUUAGGUGAGGCUCAUCUACAUUAAGGAGUGGGAUCUGAUUUAUUCAGUCUACUUAUUUAAAUGUUAAAUGUUAAUUUCACCAAAAAUGUUAUUAUAGAAACACCCAUGAUGGUAUUUGAGCAAAUAUCUGGGCACUCUGUGGCCCAGUCAAGUUGACACAUAAAAUUAAACAUCACAGGCUACCAUAACAAAAUAGCACUGACUAAGUGGCUUAAGCAACAGAAAUUUAUUUUCUCAUAGAUCUGGAGGCCAACUCUACUAUCAAAGUGACAGCAGAGUUGAUUUCUUCUGGGGCCCCUCUCUUUAGCUUGCACACAGCCACGUUUUUGUGCAUCCUCAUAUGGCCUUUCCUCCUGGCUCUUCAUCUUGUUUUAAGGACACUAAUGUUGGAUUGGGGCCCCACUCUUAUGAUCUAAUUUAAUCUCAUUACCUCCUCAAAAGUCCUAUCUCCACAUGCAGUCACAUUGGGGGUUAGGGGUUAGAAUUUAUUCCAACACAUGAACUCUGUGGGAAACACAGUUCAGUCCAUAGUAGGGCAUAAGGGUGGGAGAGAGACUGUCAUUGUUCAGCUUUUUGUACCUUCUUGGUUUUAAGCUUCCUGAAGGCAUUAUGUAUUUUAAAAGAUCUUAAAAAUAAACUCCAAGUUUCUGCUUCCAGCAGCUUGGAGGAUGGUGUCAUUCACUGGGAUGGAGAAGACUGAGGAAAAAAAUGUUUGAUAAGGCGGGAAUAGGGCGGAGAUAUUGGACAGACACUGUAGUGGAAUGUCAGUGAGGCAGUUGGUGUCCAGGAGAGGAGUCUAGGUUGGAGCGUGGAAAGACAAUCUCCCCAUGUGCAAGUUCUAGACGAGCAAGGACCUUAUCUGGAUCACUGGCAUUGUGUUUCCAGUGGCUAGCAUAGCACCCAGCAUAUAGUACCUGCACAGUAAAUAUUUGUGGAAUGAAUGCAGCCACACAAAAGAAAAAGAAAUAAAAUCAUGAAUGAAUUCUGUAUAAUGUUGAAUGGAAGAAAUCAGACAGAAAAAUACAUACUACAUUUUCCCUUUAUGUGAUGUUAUAAAACAGAUAUAAUUAAUUGAUAGUGAUAGAAAGUGGUUACUUUUGGGGGGUAGUGUUUGGGUGGGAAUAAUGAAGGCUAAUGGGAUGCUGGUCAUGUUCUGUUACUUGAUUGGAGUGGUGGUUGCAUGUAUGUGUUCACUUUGUGAAAAGUCAUGAAGCUAUACAAUUUUGAUUUGUGUACUUUCCAUGUUAUUUUUAAGGCUUAUGUAACAUAAAUCAAUAUUUUCUAGAAAAAAUAAUCAUUGUCAAAUAAAGGCAAGUAACUG